rnacentral:ribozyme from 1 species
UUUUUUUUUUUUUUUUUUUUUUUUUUUUUUUUUUUUUGA